rnacentral:rRNA from 1 species
AGAGUUUGAUCCUGGCUCAGAGCGAACGUUAGCGGCACGCUUAACACAUGCAAGUCGCACGAGAAGGGGGCAACCCCUGAAAGUGGCGCACGGGUGCGUAACACGUAGAUAACCUGCCUCUUGGAGGGGGACAACGUUCCGAAAGGAGCGCUAAUACCGCAUAAUGCUGAGACUGGUUUGCCAGUUUUGGACAAAGCUAGGGACCGGCAACGGCCUAGCGCCAAGAGAGGGGUCUGCGGCCCAUCAGCUAGUUGGUAAGGUAAUGGCUUACCAAGGCAGAGACGGGUAGCUGGUCUGAGAGGAUGAUCAGCCACACUGGUACUGGAACACGGACCAGACUCCUACGGGAGGCAGCAGUGGGGAAUCUUGGUCAAUGGGCGCAAGCCUGAACCAGCGAUGCCGCGUGAGUGAUGAAGGCCUUCGGGUUGUAAAGCUCUGUGGGGAGGGACGAAAGAAUCGGUUCUAACAGGACCGAAGUUGACGGUACCUCCUUAGCAAGCACCGGCUAACUCUGUGCCAGCAGCCGCGGUAAGACAGAGGGUGCAAACGUUGCUCGGAAUCACUGGGCGUAAAGGGCGUGUAGGCGGGUAGGCAAGUCGGGCGUGAAAUCCCUGAGCUCAACUCAGGAACUGCACUCGAAACUGCUUAUCUUGAGUGCCGGAGAGGAAAGCGGAAUUCCUGGUGUAGAGGUGAAAUUCGUAGAUAUCAGGAGGAACACCAGUGGCGAAGGCGGCUUUCUGGACGGUAACUGACGCUGAGACGCGAAAGCGUGGGGAGCAAACAGGAUUAGAUACCCUAGUAGUCC